GAGAAUGGGCAUGUACUCGACCUCACCUACUUUAUUUCCCUCGCCAUUCGUCACCAGAUGGAACGGCAUCGGAGGGGGUCAUCUCCGUUAGCCUUUACGUGACUCGACUGGCACGGCACUUCGGGCUCCUCAACACAACAGCCCAAUCAUCCUCACUUACUCUUAUUGGCUAGAUGUCCCCACAAGGCAUCUCGAGCAUGCUUAGUAUGAGGAUGAUCGAGAAGCACUGAGGAACCCACCCUCCUCAGUAGCACCUCGC
rnacentral:lncRNA from 1 species